GACGAACGCUGGCGGCGUGCUUAACACAUGCAAGUCGAACGCUGAAGACCUGGCUUUUGUUGGGUUGGAUGAGUGGCGAACGGGUGAGUAACACGUGAGUAACCUGCCCUCUUCUUUGGGAUAACGCCCGGAAACGGGUGCUAAUACUGGAUAUUCACUGAUCUUCGCAUGGGGGUUGGUGGAAAGGUUUGUUCUGGUGGGGGAUGGGCUCGCGGCCUUUCAGCUUGUUGGUGGGGUGAUGGCCUACCAAGGCUUUGACGGGUAGCCGGCCUGAGAGGGUGACCGGUCACAUUGGGACUGAGAUACGGCCCAGACUCCUACGGGAGGCAGCAGUGGGGAAUAUUGCACAAUGGGCGAAAGCCUGAUGCAGCGACGCCGCGUGAGGGAUGGAGGCCUUCGGGUUGUAAACCUCUUUCGCUCAUGGUCAAGCCGCAACUGUGGGUUGUGGUGAGGGUAGUGGGUAAAGAAGCGCCGGCUAACUACGUG
rnacentral:rRNA from 1 species